rnacentral:misc_RNA from 1 species
CAGCUUCUUCAUACUUGGACAAUUCGAUAUUUCAAUUAUUUGGAGAGAAUCGCAGACUAUUUCUCCACUACAUAUGCUCUUCAGUUCUGGCAAAUCAAACAGUUUAACCAUCCUUAAUUUCGGGAGAGUAAAGAUGAAACUGUUGCCAUUAUUGCAGUUGUAGCUUUCUUGUCCUUCUUCCGAUGCUAUCAACUUCUCCAUGUUAUCACAAUUUGUUACAGAAAUCACUUUCAGAUUUUGAAGGUCUA